rnacentral:rRNA from 1 species
UACGUAGGGUGCAAGCGUUGUCCGGAAUUAUUGGGCGUAAAGAGCUCGUAGGCGGUUUGUUGCGUCAGCUGUGAAAUCCCGAGGCUCAACUUCGGGUCUGCAGUCGAUACGAGCAAACUAGAGUGUUGCAGGGGAGACUGGAAUUCCUGGUGUAGCGGUGAAAUGCGCAGAUAUCAGGAGGAACACCGGUGGCGAAGGCGGGUCUCUGGGCAACAACUGACGCUGAGGAGCGAAAGCGUGGGGAGCGAACAGG